GACGAACGCUGGCGGCGUGCUUAACACAUGCAAGUCGAACGCUGAAGCACCAGCUUGCUGGUGUGGAUGAGUGGCGAACGGGUGAGUAAUACGUGAGUAACCUGCCCUUGACUCUGGGAUAAGCCCGGGAAACUGGGUCUAAUACUGGAUGCUACAUGUCACCGCAUGGUGGUGUGUGGAAAGGGUUUACUGGUCUUGGAUGGGCUCACGGCCUAUCAGCUUGUUGGUGGGGUAAUGGCUCACCAAGGCGACGACGGGUAGCCGGCCUGAGAGGGUGACCGGCCACACUGGGACUGAGACACGGCCCAGACUCCUACGGGAGGCAGCAGUGGGGAAUAUUGCACAAUGGGCGAAAGCCUGAUGCAGCGACGCCGCGUGAGGGAUGACGGCCUUCGGGUUGUAAACCUCUUUCAGCAGGGAAGAAGCCACAAGUGACGGUACCUGCAGAAGAAGCGCCGGCUAACUACGUGCCAGCAGCCGCCGUAA
rnacentral:rRNA from 1 species